CCCGGACCCCGACGAGGCCCCACCUUCCUACCAACCCUGGCCAACCUCCCUUCCCUGCCUCCGACCAGCACCGGACGUCCACCUCCCCUGGCACGCCGAUCCGCCCCGCCUCCACCCUCAACGGUGUAGCACCGCCAUGGGCUGGAUUCGGUAAGAUCCACUGUGCCACCCCUCGACCAGCCCGGCCCUCGCGUCGGCGGCUCCACCGAGCCAAAUCCCGAGCCCCUCCUUCGCCAGUAUUCUUCACCGCCGACGCACAUCGACCGGCAGCGAAUCAUCCUGCGCAAGACGACACGGCCCCCGCCCCAGACUGGUGCCAACGCGGCCCCGUGCCCAGCUUCUCCCUAUUGGCGUCGUCUUGGGCCCCGCCGCCUCGGUCUCUCGCCGGUUCAGUGCAUCUCGGGGCCGGCCCCUGACGAUUCCAACCGGCGACGGGGUCCCCUGCUCGCGUGCCCCUUGGGACCCCCUGCAAUCCUGAUCUCCCUGGCCACGCAAUCCUCACGUAGCCUUCGUAGGGCUGUGGAUUGGAUUGACGGCGUGGAUACAACCUUCUGAGUCAGAUGCUGGAGGACGUGGUGGACUGUCGAUCUGCUCCACAGCCCGGCAGGUGGCAGUGCAGACGAGCGUCGCCAGCUCAAGAGGAUUUGAUGAUGUCCAGGGCAUGGAUGAGGCCAAGCAGGAGCUUCUUGAGGUGAAUAUGGUGCACUAAUAAUCAAUACUAGUUGCUCAUGCUGGAAGAGAAAAAGGGGAAAACAUUGGAAAAAGAGUUGCAAUCAGGAUGAACAAGAGUUUUGUAAAAGAGGAGCUGAGAGGGCACAUCAAGAUGGAAGCUCACUUUUCAGGUCCAUGGCCAGCAAAGCGUGGGACAACAGUUGUGGCAAUGGAGAACAUGGUAGAUGGAGAAGGGGAGGUCAAGGGGGGAGGUUUGGGGAGCUGUGACUGGGAAGGUGGAAGCGGCGCGAGGUGCUACUGAGAUCAUGCCAUGAUCGCUAAUGGUUAUGAGCGCUAAUAACCAUUAGGAGGGUUUGGUGCGUCAGCUGUCAUGAUUGCUUAUGUCGUUAGGGGGGGUAGCAGUUACGAUCAUGACAGAUUCUCCCUUGGAGGCCAUGUGCGCGAGGGACUGUUUCUUUC